CGAUUGAGGCCCUGUGCGAUUAGCAGAGGCCCUGUGAGUCAGGGUGAAGAGCUUCAUGGUGAAUUCAGUCAGGGUGAAGAGCUUCAUGGUGAAUUCAGUCAGGAUCCUCGCCUAGAAGUAUCCGCUGUUUUGGCAGAACCGAUGCUGCAACUUGAAAGCCACAGGCUGAUUCUUCAAAAGGUAAUGGAAGGACCAAAGCAAAGUAUUCAGGAAUAAGUUGGGAGUUUUUUGCUGCCGCAAAAGUUUCUUCAUCGUCUCCCACACCUGAUCUUCCGGAGAUUGCAUUUGCUGGUCUGUGCUAUUCUCUUUGCAGGAGGUGAUACAGUUGCUAAUAUGUACCCUUUAGUCUGUUCGGUGCUAAUACAGUUGGACCAAAUGCCGAGUUCAGAACAUGAGGGUUAAAACAAUGACAAACUCUAAAGAUCCGCCCAAAGCUCUCAGUUCCAACAGUGCACAAUAUCUCUUUUUUUUUCAGGAAGUCCAGCUUCUCGAUCUGUGGAGUUUCUCAAA